rnacentral:lncRNA from 1 species
CUGACUUCCCUGAGCAAGAACCAUCUCGACUCGUCUGGCAACAUUAGCAGUCGCCUGAAAAGAAAUCUCACUCCCAGUCUCCUUAGCCAUCUGCAACCUGAUAGGCUGAGCAUGGCCGUUCCUCGUUGUUUUGCGUUUUACGGCCAAAAAAUAAGAAUUUUGCCUGAUUCCCAUAUAUUCGUGUGCUAUAGCCCACGCCUUCCGAAUGGGUCUGGUCCCCCUGACCCCGAUCGCCUAAAAUUAUUCCGGGCCAUCAAAUACGACCUAAGGAACCAUAGUCACCGCCCUGCCAUGGCCGUUCCUCAUUGUUUUGUAUUUUACGGCCAAAAAACUAGAAUUUUGCCCGAUUCGUGUGCUAUAGCCCACGCCUUCCGAAUGGGUCCGGUCCCCGUGACCCCGAACGCCUAAAAUUAUUCCGUCAAAUCAAAUACGACCUAAGGAACCAUAGUCACCGCCCCGCCAUGGUCGUUCCUCGUUGUUUUGCAUUUUAUGGCCAAAAAACUAAAAUUUUGCCCGAUUCCCAUAUUUUCGUGUGCUAUCCUUGCCUUCCGAGUGGGUCCAGGACCCCGGACCCCGAUCGCCUAAAAUUAUUCGGGGCCAUCAAAUACAACCUAAGGAACCAUAAUCACCGCCCCACCAUGGCCGUUCCUCGUUGUUUUGCAUUUUACGGCCAAAAUAGUAGAAUU